GGGAAGUCCCAGGAUGAGUAUAGUUUCAUGAAACAUAUAUUUCAUGUGUGUAUCACUGUGAAGCACACACACAUACAUAUAUUCAUAUAUAUUUUGGGGGUGGCUAGGGGCAAAAUGUUUUAAAGUUUAGAGAAUAUUGAUUAACUGAAUAACGUAGUGAGUAGGAAUGAAAUAAUAUUUCAAAAGUCAUUUGGUUUUACAAAUGCUAUACCAUCCAUAUGUUUUAUUUACCUUGACAUGUAUGUAUCUCAUUUGAGAGCAUAGUGUAGUGAUUGACAAGGUGGCUCUGAAAUGGGACAGUGUUUGAAUCAGCUAUGCUGCUUGUGCCACCUCACACAUGUUCUUUAAUGUCUAAGUUUCAAUUUUCUCAUCUCUAAAAGAGAAUAAAUCUCACAGAGCUGUGUUGAGGAUUCAAUGGAAUAAUUCUGUAAAAUGCUUAGUAAGUGCUCAGAAAACAUAGUUGAUUUUUAUAGCCCAUAAUACCAUACUGAGGUGCUUUUAUCAUCACUACUGUUACGUGAAUGCUUCCAAGGAAAGGCUCAUAGUUUUCAUGGAGAGCAGUGGAAAGAUUCAGGUGUCUGAGUCAUCUUCCUCCUCUUCCCAUUGGCCGUUUGGUGGGAAAGACCUUUGUGUGUCUGUUACCACUAUUUCUAUCAGACUUCUUAACUGACGGUUUUCUUUCCUUUUUUUUUUUUCUUCUUUUACUCUGUUUUGUUCACCAGCUUGCAUUAUUUGUCAUUUGUUUUGAACAGAUUUGUCUUGUUUGAGGCAUAGUGUGAAACUCUUCCUUGUCAGUGUAAGAAUGCUGAAGGAGCUAAAGAGAGCUUACAGGUUUUGCUGUUCUGAAAAAUGCUUUGCAAUUCUUCAGGCAUUUAUUGAUGGAAAAGUAUGCCUUUUCUGCGCUCAAUACCUCGAAAAGUAAAGGGAAUUAUAUAACUCUGGAGAAGACUCUCUGGAGAGGCUUAUGCUUCCCUGUAAAUCAUAAGUUUGAGCCAGUCCCUCAGAGAGAGGCGCAUCUGUUACCAGAGUUCUCUCCGCAGCAUCAUUUUCAUCUCCCAUGCCUCACGUCAUUUUCUCAUUUUCUCCAGUAUCCUCAUGAUGUUUUGGAGAACUCAAGCUACAGCAAUUAAAAUCAAACAUGGCUGCUCACCAUCACAUUCUCAUAUUUCACAUAAAAUCCCAGUGCACAGAAACAAUUAUAAUUCCAUGUAAUUGAACUGUUACUCAUGCUAAAUCAUCUGCUAUUCAGUUUCACUACAGUCUUUACACUGAAAAGUUAGGCUGUGCCUGCUAUGUAUGUAAAUGGUUUAAAAAGUAAAAUAGUCUAAAAAUCAUCAGUUCCCAGUUUAUAUUAAUAUGUAUAUUACAAAACUACAUAUAUAUACACAUACAUGUCAAUAUAUGCACAUGUAUGUAUUAUGUAUAUAUGCUAGAGAGAUUGGAAACAUUUUGGGGAUAUUUAGUUGUGACCAACAAAAUAGGGAUACUUUGAAAGAUUGAUUUAUUCUUUUUUGCUUUUCUAAUAAUCUUAUUAAAGGGCAGUGUAAAAAGAUGAUAAUUUAUCACAGAUACUGAUUUCUCCAAGUGUGAUUAUGAGAGCUAUCAUGUUAUCAUAAUGGGACUAUUUAAAAAAUAGUUUGAAAAUAGGUGAAGAGACCAGGGGCAGCUUUUCGCCAGGGUAGUGCUUCACUUGAGUGUUUGAUCUCAUAUUAGAUUUUACCAAGAGUUUAAGUGGGUAAUGUCAUACCGCUUGACUGAUUUGGUUUAUAUCACAUUUACAAAAGUACCAACAUCUGCUUUUUCUCCUGAGUAGUGUUCAUACAUAUCUUUUUUGUCCAGCCUAGUGUUGAUGUUGAGUUACAAUGGCUUUUGGUUAAUGGCAGUUUUAGUCAUUUUGUAUUGCUUUCAACUGUUUUGGAUCAUGUAUCUGUGAUCUGAAUUUGCACAUUGGUUAAACUGCUUUUCUGUAUAUGCAUUUAAAAUAAUUAUGGAAAAGUUUGCACAAGCUAAAGUACAGACAAAGAAGGUUUUACAUACAGAUAGCAGGCAUAUUAGGAAGAUGCUGAGUUGUGUUCUAAUCCUUAGUUUUCUAUGUUACUUUGGCAUGAGCUUUCUAGGCCAAAUAGAGGACAUAGAAUUAAAUUUAGUAUGUACAACACACUGUUAAAUAUAUGAAAUUAUUUCUGGCAUUUAUUAUGCUGAAUCCAAUGCUAAGCCCUUAAAAUGCAUUAUCUCAUCUGAUUCUCACAGUAACCUUGUCGUGUUAGAUGCUUAUUGUUAUCUCCAUUUUACAAAUGUGGAACCUAAGGCUUAGUUAAGUUUGACCGAGGUCAAACUGUUAAGACUGGAGUUACUCUGGCUAGGUAUUAGAUUUAGCUGGUUGGAUUCUUCCAUGUGAAAAAAUAGCUUAUACUCUCAAGAUUAGAUUAUUGUGUUCUAGCUUAGCAGUUGACAGUUGCUUCAUUUUGGGGAGUUACCAUUGUUGACAUUAAAAUCCUGAUUCCAGCACAGCCUUGUGGUGUUAACUCAUUAUUGACAGCAUCAUGACAUCUGUCAACUCGCAGACCUUUUGAUGAAGGUGAACUGAAUGACUUGGUUGUGUUUAUCCCUUAAAACUGAAAAAACAGAAUCAGCCACUAAAGUAAUGGCUAGAAAUGGGAUCAGAAAAUACAGUCAUAUUUCAAGUGAUAAUCUGUUUCCCUAGGAAUUAUUCACUGAUUACUAGAUACGUAAUUUCCCACAGAAAUAAAACCAUUGUUAAAAGUCAGCUAUAGGCUAUUUGUGCAUGUGGGAGGGUUUGCCAUUUUGUCUUUUUAAAAAAAUGUUUUUUAGUUUUAUGCACUUAUAAAUUGAAUUUUCAAGAUCAAGUAUGAGACUCAUUGUUCUGUUUAUGAAGCUUUUCUUUUUUUAAUUGACUCUUCUUUUGGUUCCUAUAAUUGUCAACAAUUGUCAGCACUUGCAAUGGAUGCAUCUUAAUUGACAGAGUAGAUGUGGUAUCUUUUCCCUCCAAGAGCCGUGUCAUUAACAAAUAAUAUUAAUAACUAACACUUUUAGGAAUAUACUUCCAGACCUGUGUGUAUAGAUGUGUGUAUGCUAUUCUGUUUUUCACUUCACAGUAUGUUAUGAACAUCAUUCCAUGUUAAUCAAAUCUUCUUCCUCAGUGUCUUUUUAAAAAACUUUUCAUUUGGAGAUAAUUCGACUCACAUGCAGUUGUAAGAAGUAAUAUAGGAAGAUCCUGUAUAUGUUCACCCAGCUUCCCCCAGUGUGAACAAUAACAAAGUGAGUGGCACGUAUGUAUGACCCACCUAAAGAAAAAGAACACUACCAGAAUAUUACCAGUACCUUAGGAGCUCCCUGGGUGCACCACCAUCCAUCUCCCCUUCCUUUCCCACAGCUGUAACCAUUAUGGAAUUGAAAGACUACUCGGUAGGUGUCAGACUUCUCCGGAGGGAUCGAAUCAGCGCAUGUCCCCGGCGCGGACUGCCCCAGGGCCACAGCUCCGCCGCGCCGGGUCUGUGCUUGGUCAGCUCGGCCGGCCCCCACCACACCUGCAAGCUGCAGCAGCUGCUCCCCUACAUAGAUAUUAUUAACAGUAUUUUCUCCCAUGAGGAAGAAGUCCAUAGAUAUUAAAUUUAUUAGUAUGUUUGAUAUUUCGUGUGGGUCAAACUGAAUUACAAUAAUUGUCAAUUUAAAAACAGUCUUUUUAUCUAUACUUCUUGGAGUUUCCCUAAGCUACUUCACUGGCAGUUUUUUUUCUUUUUAAGGUAACCACUAAAAAGUAAAUAUAAGAUAUAAACCUUUUAACUUAUUAUUUAAUAGGAAUGAACAAAACUACUUAAACCUGCGUUGAAAUUUAAUUUCUGUCUAAUUUUGUGAUGUCACUUUGAGCAGCUGUGACAUGAGUUAAGUGGGUCGUUUUACCUUUGCAUUGCUUAAUCUAGUCAGUUCUGUACCUAAUGUUGUUUAUGCUUUGUUUAUGAUGGUACAGAAGGUCUGUACAUAGGGUUGUUUAAAUAGUAAAGGAUGUGGCUCUCUAAAAGCUUCUUAUACUCACAAGUUUUUCCUUGCCAGUAAUUCUACUUUAUUCCUAAAAAAAAGAAGUUAUUCUUUAUAAAAAGUCGCAGUAAAUUUUCUAGUUGUAUGUAAUUUUCUUUCCAUUCUGGUCUUCACUAGUUAUAAAUAACACAUUAAAUGACUUUCAAGGUAGAAAGCAGGAAUCCAUUUUGAAAUGUUCUAUAAAAUAAAGAGUGAUUUAUGGUUUCAUAUGAUUUGGGCUGAAAGCACUCAGGCUUUGCCAGGUCAUCAAAGUCCUGUCAGGGGAAUCUGUUAUAUAUUGUUUGAUAUGCUGGGAGUGGUGUAAGUAUUUAAUGCUUAUCUUAUGUAAGUAUAGUGUUAGGAAAAAUCAAUUCCAGAUACUAAUACAAUUUUAAGAAUAGAUCAUAGAGUGCUAACCUAAAUAUUGUAGUUGUAAGUGAUGAGGUUCAACAUUAAGGAUUUGGAUUAAAAGGGGAUUUUGAAAAAUGAAUAAAUAAUGGUUUCAUUCCUAUAAAAUAUUUUAGAUAAGAUUCUUGAAAAUGCUAAUUUCAUACCUUUUUGGGCUUGAUUUUAGCUUAGCUUCGUUUGAUAGUGAAACAUCUUUUUAUCUAGACAGGUUUUGGAAAAUCAUAGAGCUGGGACUAUGUGUUUGUUAUAUGAUCAUAUAACAUUCUAUAAGCUUCUAAUAUAUUUUUUCUAGUUGCCAACUUUAUAACAGAACCUCAACUUAGAGGGACGUAAUGUAACAAACCUCAGUUUCCCCUGUUACAAGCUGUUAUGAAAUGCUAAUAUAAUACCUAGUAUUUACCUGUGUUUGAUAAAAAUGACUUGCCGGUAAAGUUGAUGAUCUUGCAUCAGAUUUAUACAUUUUUCCUACAAUCCUUUGGCAGAGUUCUUUGAAACAGCCUCACUAAUGAAUUUAAUGAUCAUAUUUAAUGAUGUGAAAUGUUUAAAUGAUAUUAAGUAUUUGAUGAACUUCUGUAGCAUACAUCUGGAAAAGCCCUAUAGUGUACGUAUAGAAAAGGCUAUUGGACUUUCUUUUCAAGAAACUAUUUUAAGUUGUUAGAUCUUUGAGGAUAACUUAAGUCAAUAGUAAACAAAUGGUAGUUUUUUUCCCUUCAUAUAGCUUAAGUAUAACUUCAGGUAACUUCAGAUUUGUUAUUGAAGGGGUAGGAAGAGAAGGGAAGAGAACCAAUAUUUAUUGAAUGUCAGCGACAUGCUAGGAGACACUGUGUAAGGUGUUUUAUAUCAUUUUUUAACCUAUUCUUCCAUAUAUCCCUAUGAGAUAUAUUAUUAGCCCUAUAUUACAGUUGAAAACAUUGUACUUGUAUAUUUGUACUCAGAUUUUUUACAGUGUGUUUCCAGUGUAAUGCUGUGUGACUUAACCCUGAUUAUUUGUUUCUAACUCAUGUCUGGCUUUCCCUUGUGGGAGAGACUGUAUAAUUCAUUGUAAUAAGCCUAUAUAUGUUCCAUAUAAAUGCCUCACAAGGAUGUUGUGUGAAUUUGAGUAAUGAUUCAGAAGCUAAGUAGUUCACUUUUUAUGGUGCCAAGUGUUAAAAAAAAAAAAGGCUUUAUUUUGAAAUUAGUCAAGGGUUUAAAAGCUAUUAAAAUUGAGCUUAUAAAUAUUAAUUUAAACAAAACAAGCAGUUAGUUGUUUUACUUAUUUUGCUAAAUUAUAAGUAAGACCAAAAAGUUUAAUUAUGUUAACUUUUCCUAAAUAAGAAUUAAAAAAAAAAUGAAACCUAAAGCUCCAGUUUUAUGCAAAGUCAUCCUUCGUGCUGUGCCUAGAGUUAUUUUUCUGAAACACUGAUUAGAUCUUGUUCUUAUGGCUAAAAUCUUAGACUCCCUGUUGCUUACAGGUUCAAGUUCAGACUCCACAGUUUGGCUCCAACCACUCUUUGGGCCAUCACUUUUUGGUACUCUCUUCCUUCACCCUUUGCCAAGAAUAUUCCCUUCCACUUUCCCUUUUCCUUCAGCUUUUUUCUUCUACACUUUUCAGUUGUGUUAUUACAGAUCUGAAAGACCCAGCUGGUUAGUGUCCCCUGCUCCUUGGAGCUUUCCAUGACUCACCUCUACAGAGGGAAUGCUUCUUUCCUUUGUGUUCCUCUAACAGUCUUAAUUACCUUUAUUAUUUCAGUCCCUUUAAAUUCUUAUUCUUUAGACUCUGAGCUCUUUUAGGCUAGGCAUUGCCUUUAUCUUUUUUUUCCCCUCACUACCUAUCACAGUCUGUUCUAUCCCUCUCUCUCUCUUCCCUUUCCCCAUUAUUGUAUGUAUUUCUUCUUUUCUUUCCUUAAACAGGUAUUUAUAGAGAAUCUACUAUGUGCCUCCUCUGUUCAAGGAACUCGGUGUUUAUUGAAUGGAUGGGAAGAAAUAUGAAAUCCUGGCCAGGAAGACAUUAUUAACUGUAUUAUUAGUCUGUCGCUCUAAUCAUUCUAAGCAUGAAGAUAUCUUCUGUUCAACACAUAUUUGUUGAAAACCUACCACAAGCGCUGCUUUACUGGGGAUUCAGUGGUGAAUAAAAUAUACACAGUCCCUGCUCUUAUGAAGCUGACAUUCCAGUAGGAAAGUGAGUUGUGGCCACAAAGAGACAGGGAGCCCAACCUUGUAAAGUCAGACAAAUUGUCCAGACCUCUAUGUGUCUGUGGCUUCUUUGUCUAUAAAACUGUGUAGCAUUAUAUAACAUUAAAGCGUAUUGAAAAUGCAGCACUUCAAAGGAUCUAGAAUGGCCAAGACAAUAUUUAAAAAGGAUGAAGUUAGAGGACUUAUUCUACCUGAUUUUAGGACUUAACCGUAAAAUGUACAAUAAUCAAGACAGUGUGGUAGUGGCAUAAGGAUAGACACAUGGAUUAAUGCAACAGAGAGUCCAGAAACAGACCCACACUGACAUGGUCAAUUGAGUUUUGAUGAAGUUACCAAGGUAGGAAAUAGUCUUCAAUAAAUCAUGCUGGAAUAAUUGGAUAUCGACAUUAAGAGAGGUACCUAAACCUUUUCCUCAUGACAUACACAAUAUUUAAGUCAAAACAGAUCAUUGCCAUAUGGACACCAA